rnacentral:rRNA from 1 species
AUUGAACGCUGGCGGCAGGCCUAACACAUGCAAGUCGAGCGAGCGGCGGACGGGUGCGUACUGUAUGGGGACUGCCCGAUAGCGGGGGAUAACUACAGGAAACGGUGGCCAAUCCCGCAUACAGUCGGAUUCCCGCUUUGGGAUUUGCUAGUGGGUAAGGUAAUGGCUUACCUAGGCGACGAACCCUAGCUGGUCGGAGAGGUUGAUCAGCCACACUGGGACGGAGACACGGCCCAGAAUCCUACGGAGGCAGCAGUGGGGAAUAUUGCACAAUGGGCGCAAGCCUGAUGCAGCCAUGCCGCGUGUAUGAAGAAGGCCCUAGGGUUGUAAAGUACUUUCAGUCGGGAGGCGUUACCGACAGAAGAAGCACCGGCUAACUCCGUGCCAGCAGCCGCGGUAAUAC